UACGUAGGUGGCAAGCGUUGUCCGGAAUUAUUGGGCGUAAAGCGCGCGCAGGCGGCCUUUUAAGUCUGAUGUGAAAGCCCACGGCUCAACCGUGGAAGGUCAUUGGAAACUGAAGGGCUCGAGUACAGAAGAGGAAAGCGGGAUUCCACGUGUAGCGGUGAAAUGCGUAGAGAUGUGGAGGAACACCAGUGGCGAAGGCGGCUUUCUGGUCUGUAACUGACGCUGAGGCGCGAAAGCGUGGGGAGCAAACAGG
rnacentral:rRNA from 1 species